rnacentral:rRNA from 1 species
AUUGAACGCUGGCGGCAGGCCUAACACAUGCAAGUCGAACGAGUGGCGGACGGGUGAGUAAUGUCUGGGAAACUGCCCGAUGGAGGGGGACAACUACUGGAAACGGUAGCUAAUACCGCAUACCAGCGGAUGUGCCCAGAGGGGUUUAGCUAGUAGGUGGGGUAAUGGCUCACCUAGGCGACGCGCCCUAGCUGUGCCGCGAGGAUGACCAGCCACACUGGAACUGAGACACGGUCCAGACUCCUACGGGAGGCAGCAGUGGGGAAUAUUGCACAAGGGGCGCAAGCCUGAUGCAGCCAUGCCGCGUGUAUGAAGAAGGCCUUCGGGUUGUAAAGUACUUUCAGCGGGGAGGCGUUACUCGCAGAAGAAGCACCGGCUAACUCCGUGCCAGCCGCCGCGGUAAUAC